rnacentral:misc_RNA from 1 species
CAACGUGCGGAAUGUGGGGAAGACGCUGGUCUCCAGGACACAAGGAACGAAGAUUGCUUCCGAAGGACUGAAACACCGAGUAUUUGAGGUCUCCUUGGCAGACCUUCAACAUGAUGAGGAUCAGGCUUACAGAAAGAUUCGUCUGAGGUCUGAGGAUGUUCAGGGCAAGAAUGUCCUAACCAAUUUCUGGGGAAUGAGUUUCACGACAGACAAGGUGAGGUCUUUGGUUCGGAAGUGGCAGACCUUGAUUGAGGCACAUGUAGAUGUGAAGACCACGGAUAACUACACUCUGAGAAUGUUCUGUAUUGGAUUCACCAAAAGGCGCCCUAACCAGGUCAAGAGAACCUGUUAUGCACAGUCGAGCCAG